GUCCCUUCGGGGACAUCCGAUAAAAUUGGAACGACAUUAGCAUGGUCACUGUGUAAGAUUGACAACUUUUUGAGCGGGCUAUGUGAUCCGAUG
rnacentral:snRNA from 1 species